UUGCCGGCGACCGGCGGACGGGUGCGUAACGCGUAUGUAACCUACCUUUGACAGGGGGAUAACAUCGAGAAAUUGGUACUAAUACCCCAUAACAUCACCGGAGGCAUCUUCGGUGGUUGAAAACUCAGGUGGUCAGAGAUGGACAUGCGUUGUAUUAGCUAGUUGGUGAGGUAACGGCUCACCAAGGCGGCGAUACAUAGGGGGACUGAGAGGUCAACCCCCCACAUUGGUACUGAGACACGGACCAAACUCCUACGGAAGGCAGCAG
rnacentral:rRNA from 1 species